rnacentral:rRNA from 1 species
AGUGAACGCUGGCGGUAGGCCUAACACAUGCAAGUCGAACGGCAGCACAGUAAGAGCUUGCUCUUACGGGUGGCGAGUGGCGGACGGGUGAGGAAUACAUCGGAAUCUACUUUUUCGUGGGGGAUAACGUAGGUAAACUUACGCUAAUACCGCAUACCACCUACGGGUGAAAGCAGGGGAACUUCGGACCUUGCGCGAAUGAAUGAGCCGAUGUCGGAUUAGCUAGUUGGCGGGGUAAAGGCCCACCAAGUCAACGAUCCGUAGCUGGUCUGAGAGGCUGAUCGGCCACACUGGAACUGAGACACGGACAAGACUCCUACGGGAGGCCGCAGUGGGGAAUAUUGGACAAUGGGCGCAAGCAUGAUCCAGCCAUACCGCGUGGGUGAAGAAGGCCUUCGGGUUGUAAAGACCUUUUGUUGGGAAAGAAAAGCAGCCGGUUAAUACCCCGCUGUUCUGACGGUACCCAAAGAAUAAGCACCGGCUAACUUCGUG